AUGAAUCCUUAUUUUGUUGGCCUUCUUGUGCCCAUCGCGGUCUCUCUUCUGCUCCAGAAAAGGAGAAAGGUUGAAAAGAAGAGGGGUGUGCCAGUUGAUGUUGGUGGAGAGCCUGGCUAUGCGAUCCGCAACCAUCGGUUUGAACGCCCUGUUGAAACACACUGGGAAGGGGUCAACACACUUGCUGAGCUGUUUGAGCAUGCUUGCAAAGAGUAUCUCUACAUGCCCCUCCUUGGCACUAGGAAGCUCAUUUCAAGGGAAAUAGAAUCAUCACCUGAUGGGAGGUCCUUUGAGAAGCUUCAUCUGGGGGAGUACGAGUGGAAAUGUUACGCUGAGGCCUUCAAGAGUGUUUGCAACUUUUCUUCAGGAUUGGUCAAUUUAGGUCGCCAGGACAAUGAGAGUGUUGCUAUUUUUGCCGAGACACAGGCUGAGUGGCAGAUUGCACUGCAGGCAUGCUUCAGACAAAACAUAACAGUUGUCACCAUCUAUUCCUCGUUGGGGGAGGAAGCACUAUGCCACUCACUAAAUGAGACUGAGGUCACUACUGUAAUAUGUGGUCGGAAGGAAUUAAAGAAGUUGAUUGAUAUAGGUUGGCAACUUGACACUGUCAAGCGUGUGAUCUACAUCAAUGAGGAAGGCAUCUCGGCUGAAGUUUCUAUAGCUCAAAACAGCACUAGCUGGUCAGUUAAGUCAUUUGAGGAAGUAGGUAAAUUGGGAGCUGAAGCACCUGUUGAUGCAAACAUGCCUCUCCCAUCUGAUGUUGCGGUGAUAAUGUACACAAGUGGUAGCACUGGAUUGCCCAAGGGAGUUAUGAUGACCCACCGCAAUGUCCUGGCUACACUUUCAGCAGUUAUGACCAUUGUGCCUGAACUUGGCAAAAAGGAUAUAUACAUGGCCUACCUCCCACUGGCGCACAUUCUUGAGUUGGCAGCUGAGACACUUAUGGCUGCUGUUGGAGCCUCCAUUGGAUAUGGAUCAGCUUUGACCCUGACUGAUACAUCAAGCAAAAUAAAGAAGGGGACCCUAGGCGAUGCUUCUGCACUGAGGCCGACACUGAUGACUGCUGUACCUGCUAUACUUGAUCGUGUCCGUGAUGGUGUAAGAAAAAAGGUGGAUGCAAAGGGUGGUGUAGCGAAGAAAUUAUUUGACAUUGGAUAUAGCCGCCGACUUGCUGCUAUCAAUGGAAGUUGGCUUGGUGCAUGGGGAGUAGAGAAACUGUUGUGGGACAGGCUUGUCUUCACGAAGGUGCGUGCAAUAUUGGGAGGAAAUAUUCGCUUUGUACUCUCAGGUGGAGCACCUCUGUCCGGAGACACUCAGAGAUUUAUCAACAUAUGCCUUGGGGCUCCAAUAGGCCAAGGGUAUGGUCUGACUGAAACUUGUGCUGGAGGAACGUUUUCUGAGUAUGAUGAUACAUCUGUUGGCCGUGUUGGUGCUCCACUACCUUGUUCAUACAUUAAGUUGAUUGACUGGGCUGAAGGGGGAUACUUAACAACGGAUUCACCAAUGCCUCGGGGGGAGAUAGUCAUCGGAGGUCCCAAUGUAACUAAAGGCUAUUUCAAGAAUGAAGCUAAAACAAGUGAAGUCUAUAAGGAUGAUGAAAGAGGUCUACGAUGGUUCUAUUCUGGAGACAUAGGGCGUUUCCAUCCAGAUGGCUGCCUUGAAAUCAUUGACCGCAAGAAAGAUAUCGUGAAGCUUCAACAUGGUGAAUACGUAUCUCUUGGGAAGGUGGAAGCUGCGUUGGCUAUGAGCCCAUAUGUUGAGAACAUCAUGAUCCAUGCCGAUCCUUUUCACAGUUACUGUGUUGCACUUGUGGUAGCAGCACAGAAUGAACUUGAAAGGUGGGCAUUGCAGCAAGGACUUGCAUACACCGAUUUUGCUGAUUUGUGCCAGAAGCAAGAGGCUGUUGUAGAAGUGCUUGAAUCUUUAACAAAGGCUGCGAAGCAAGCACGACUGGAGAAGUUCGAGACACCAGCCAAAGUCAAGCUCAUACCAGAUCCAUGGACCCCCGAGUCGGGCCUCGUCACGGCUGCGCUCAAACUCAAGAGGGAGGUGAUCAGGAAGACGUUUGAAGACGAUCUGGCGCAGUUGUACGCCUGA
rnacentral:rRNA from 1 species